rfam:Marivita geojedonensis strain DPG-138 contig1, whole genome shotgun sequence.
UCCCGUCGCAUAUGCGGGUCAUCAUAUGCACCUCCCUGUUGGACCUGGCCCCGGAUUUUUCCGGGGUCUUUUUU